rnacentral:lncRNA from 1 species
AGAGGAUGCGGCUAUAAAACGCCAUCUUGGAAGCGAGACUGGGCUCUCAGCAGACACCAAACCUUCAUCUGGGACUUCCCAGCCUCCAGAACUUUCCAGAAACCUAUGGAGAAAGCACAUGGAGAUAAUUAGUUCUACUUCCAGAGAGGGUAAACAUAUCACAAAUGUACAGAUAAAGAUGAAACAUCCAAUUGCAGAUAUGAAUGACCUAAUUCAAUGGAUGAGUCUGGAAGAGGACCAAGUUCAUGGGAAAGAUCAAAAAUUCAGUUUUGAAGAUGUUGAUGAGAAGAUGAGACAAAACCAUGUAUAGAUGCGGAUGAGCUAAUUAAAUAUAUGAGUCUGGAGCUGAAAGGAAAUGCCUUGACAAGAGAAGUAAAUUUGAGGACCAUCAGUAUACAGAUGUACUUGAAUCCAUCUAUGUAAAUGCAAUCACCCUGGGAGGAAAUUUAGAGUGAGAACAGGACUGCGUGGAAAGACAUUAAAGAAGUUAAAGAAAGAAGAACUAACAAAGGCAGGAGAGAAGAAGAGGACGGAGAGGUAGGAGAGAAACCAGUAAUGUGCGAUGGCAUAGAAAUUAAGAAAUAUUUUAAAAAAUCAACCUCAGAAAUGAAUAACAGCCCAAAAGAGGUCUGGGAGAGAAGGAAGCUGUAUUGUUGGUACAGAAGCCAACAUAGGAGAAAAGACUUUUAGCCCUCCCUCUCCUCCUGGGAGACACAGUUGAAGGAAGAGCAGCCUGUGAUUCAGAGGGAAGGACACUGAGUCAGAUCCUGCAGGACCAACAGCAUUAAGUGCUACAAAGAGAGACCCUGCUGAGGGGGCCCCUCCUCUCCUCCCCAAGAUCCUGCCAGGAAGGGACUGCCUUUUGUCACAAUUUGGCUGACUGGUCAAUUGAGGGUGAAUCCUCAAACCAGCAGGCUUUAAGGAGCACCUUAGGGUUCAGAGCAGACCUUUUUCUUUUUCUGCCAGUGUGUAGCAGAUCUCCUUCUGCAGCCUUGGCUAUGAUCUCCGCUCCUCUCUCUCUCUGCCUUGGCUAUCUGCCUGCUCUCCUGCUGUCCUCAUCUGUAGGAGCUGCACAGCUCAGCAAGAAACUGUUCUUAGUGUGCCCAUCAAAGCACUGGAAGAAAAAGAAUACUGAGAUAGUUGCCUGAAAAGCAGAAGCAGCUCCUGUCACAGUGCCAAAUGCACUCGUUUAAGGAAUUCUGAUUUUACAAAAGGAACUCCCCCAACCCCCAAACUAAAAGUUAAAGAUGAAGAAGCAUCAUGUCUUAAAAUAGACAGUUUUGUGUUUUCUCACUGCAGUCAAAAACAGGGAAAAAAUAAAGGAUAAUUUACCUUU